rnacentral:rRNA from 1 species
UACGUAGGGGGCAAGCGUUGUCCGGAUUUAUUGGGCGUAAAGAGCGUGUAGGCGGCCAUGUAGGUCCGUUGUGAAAACUCGAGGCUCAACCUCGAGACGCCGAUGGAAACCAUAUGGCUAGAGUCCGGAAGAGGAGAGUGGAAUUCCUGGUGUAGCGGUGAAAUGCGCAGAUAUCAGGAAGAACACCCGCGGCUAAGGCGGCUCUCUAGUACGGUACUGACGCUGAGACGCGAAAGCGUGGGGAGCGAACAGG